rnacentral:misc_RNA from 1 species
UUGAAAAAAGCUAAAUAGUAUUUUUUGCGAAUAUUUAUUUCUUGUUUCAUGUAAACUACAUUAACUUUCGUACAUAUUUUACAAUUUUCAAUGUAAUAAUCCCAUCUAGAAAGUUCAUUUCAAACAAAGGAGGUAUAUAAGGAAACUAUAUGCUAUUUAUAUUGUGGCCAAAUUCCUCAAGGAUCGAAAAGAUUUUAUUCCUGGAAGAAAUGUCUUAUAAUACACCUGUAUACGAUGAAAGGGAACAAUCACGCACGCACUUGACAAUGCUAGGACUACUAGGAGAUCUGAACGGUCGGUGGACUUGCUGGCUUGCUGGCUGCUUUUAUUGCGACAUGCAAGUAUCUCUGUGUAUUUCAGCGAUUCACACUGGUGAACGUUUGGCUACACAUACGACAUAUA